rnacentral:rRNA from 1 species
GGGUUGUGAGGUUAAGCGACUAAGCGUACACGGUGGAUGCCCUGGCAGUCAGAGGCGAUGAAGGACGUGCUAAUCUGCGAUAAGCGCCGGUAAGGUGAUAUGAACCGUUAUAACCGGCGAUUUCCGAAUGGGGAAACCCAGUGUGAUUCGUCACACUAUCAUUAACUGAAUCCAUAGGUUAAUGAGGCGAACCGGGGGAACUGAAACAUCUAAGUACCCCGAGGAAAAGAAAUCAACCGAGAUUCCCCCAGUAGCGGCGAGCGAACGGGGAGGAGCCCAGAGCCUGAAUCAGCAUGUGUGUUAGUGGAAGCGUCUGGAAAGGCGCGCGAUACAGGGUGACAGCCCCGUACACAAAAGCGCAUGUGCUGUGAGCUCGAUGAGUAGGGCGGGACACGUGGUAUCCUGUCUGAAUAUGGGGGGACCAUCCUCCAAGGCUAAAUACUCCUGACUGACCGAUAGUGAACCAGUACCGUGAGGGAAAGGCGAAAAGAACCCCGGCGAGGGGAGUGAAAAAGAACCUGAAACCGUGUACGUACAAGCAGUGGGAGCACCCUUCGGGGUGUGACUGCGUACCUUUUGUAUAAUGGGUCAGCGACUUAUAUUCUGUAGCAAGGUUAACCGUAUAGGGGAGCCGGAGGGAAACCGAGUCUUAACCGGGCGUUAAGUUGCAGGGUAUAGACCCGAAACCCGGUGAUCUAGCCAUGGGCAGGUUGAAGGUUGGGUAACACUAACUGGAGGACCGAACCGACUAAUGUUGAAAAAUUAGCGGAUGACCUGUGGCUGGGGGUGAAAGGCCAAUCAAACCGGGAGAUAGCUGGUUCUCCCCGAAAGCUAUUUAGGUAGCGCCUCGUGAAUUCAUCUCCGGGGGUAGAGCACUGUUUCGGCUAGGGGGCCAUCCCGGCUUACCAACCCGAUGCAAACUGCGAAUACCGGAGAAUGUUAUCACGGGAGACACACGGCGGGUGCUAACGUCCGUCGUGAAGAGGGAAACAACCCAGACCGCCAGCUAAGGUCCCAAAGUCAUGGUUAAGUGGGAAACGAUGUGGGAAGGCCCAGACAGCCAGGAUGUUGGCUUAGAAGCAGCCAUCAUUUAAAGAAAGCGUAAUAGCUCACUGGUCGAGUCGGCCUGCGCGGAAGAUGUAACGGGGCUAAACCAUGCACCGAAGCUGCGGCAGCGAACGUAUCACCCAAGACAACUUUACGGAGUUGACGAUUGACGGAGCGAAGCGACGUCAAAGCGUUCAUUAAAGUCGAGUUGGCUUAGGGAUACGUUCGUUGGGUAGGGGAGCGUUCUGUAAGCCUGUGAAGGUGUGUCGUGAGGCAUGCUGGAGGUAUCAGAAGUGCGAAUGCUGACAUAAGUAACGAUAAAGCGGGUGAAAAGCCCGCUCGCCGGAAGACCAAGGGUUCCUGUCCAACGUUAAUCGGGGCAGGGUGAGUCGACCCCUAAGGC